rnacentral:rRNA from 1 species
AGAGUUUGAUCAUGGCUCAGGAUGAACGCUGGCGGUCUGCUUAACACAUGCAAGUCGAACGCAAGUAGCAAUACUUGAGUGGCGGACGGGUGAGUAACGCGUGAGAAUCUGCCUUUUGGUCGGGGACAACCACUGGAAACGGUGGCUAAUACCGGAUAUGCCUAACGGUGAAAGAUUAAUUGCCAGAAGAGGAGCUCGCGUCUGAUUAGCUAGUUGGUGAGGUAAGAGCUCACCAAGGCAUCGAUCAGUAGCUGGUCUGAGAGGAUGAUCAGCCACACUGGGACUGAGACACGGCCCAGACUCCUACGGGAGGCAGCAGUGGGGAAUUUUCCGCAAUGGGCGAAAGCCUGACGGAGCAAGACCGCGUGAGGGAGGAAGGCUCUUGGGUUGUAAACCUCUUUUGUCAGGGAAGAACACAAUGACGGUACCUGAAGAAUCAGCAUCGGCUAACUCCGUGCCAGCAGCCGCGGUAAUACGGGGGAUGCAAGCGUUAUCCGGAAUUAUUGGGCGUAAAGCGUCCGCAGGUGGCUAAUCAAGUCUGCUGUCAAAGGUUGGGGCUUAACCCCAAAAAGGCAGUGGAAACUGAGAAGCUAGAGUGCAGUAGGGGUAGAGGGAAUUCCCGGUGUAGCGGUGAAAUGCGUAGAGAUCGGGAAGAACAUCGGUGGCGAAAGCGCUCUACUGGACUGCAACUGACACUCAGGGACGAAAGCUAGGGGAGCGAAUGGGAUUAGAUACCCCAGUAGUCC